rnacentral:lncRNA from 1 species
GGGGGUCCUAAGAGCCAGUGGGGGAACCAGGGGCUGGCUCUCAGUCCCUGCCUCGCGGGGGGUGCCUCCCCCCCCCUGCGAUGAGGGUAGCAACAGCCGGGGGUGGAAGAGGGGAUAACUCUCAGUCCCCACCCUCGCGGGGGGUGCCUCCCCCUCCUGCGAUGGGGGUCCUAAGAGCCAGGGGGGGGAAGAGGGACUGGCUCUCAGUCCCUGCCUCGCGGGGGGUGCCUCCCCCCCUGCGAUGGGGGUACUAAGAGCCAGGGGUGGAAGAGGGGAUAGCUCUCAGUCCCCACUCUCGUGAGGGUUGCCUCCCCCUCCUGCGAUGGGGGUCCUCAGAGCCAGGGGGGGAAGAGGGUCUGGCUCUCAGUAAUCCCACGUAAGGUACCUGCUGUCGGAAGAUUUGAACUUUCUACUUGGACAACUAACACCCACAGUCCUCCAGACAGAAAGACAACAGGUACAAAGCCCUAAGGAUUAUAAAGGUAUGCUGCUUACCAUCAUCUUAGUGACCAAGGCAGCGAAGCUGUUUCUGUACCUUGGAACAGUCUUCCCUGACAAGCCAGAGAACAGUGAUAAAGCCACCAGCCUUGGGAUCAGGACUGAAAAGGCAAGAGUGAUGGAGAUUUCUCCUGCGCUAAGCCAAGAGAAGGUUUCAGCACUUCAGACAGCUCCCACCGAAGUAGCCGCGCUCCCAGCUGCUUGCAGAUGUUGAAAAGGAAAGCCUCGGUUUGUCUUGAGGUUGUCAGCAGGUGCAAGACACGUAAUAAAAUGCAAUGUGUUCCUAA